rnacentral:rRNA from 1 species
UGAAACUGAUAGUCUUGAGGGCAGGAGAGGAAAGUGGAAUUCCUGGUGUAGCGGUGAAAUGCGUAGAAAUCAGGAGGAACACCGGUGGCGAAGGCGACUUCCUGGACUGCCCCUGACGCUG